AUGUUAUCUGUAGCUCUGCUGCUGCUGUUGGCUGCUGGAUCCGAUGUAAAGUGUGAACAGCUGACACAGCCAGUCUCUGUGACUCUGCAGCCGGGUCAGUGUCUGACCAUCAACUGUCAGGUCUCUUAUUCUCUGAAUUACCCCACAGCUUGGAUCAGACAGGCAGCUGGAAAAGGACUGGAGUGGAUUGCUUGGAUCAGCGAUGACAGCAGGAACAUCUACUACUCUGACUCGGUGAGAAACCGGUUCACCAUCUCCAGAGACAACAGCAGAAGUCAGGUGUAUCUGCAGAUGAACAGUCUGACAGCUGAGGAUUCUGCUGUUUAUUAUUGUGCUCAAGAUCCACAGUGA